AUCCAGAGGGACCUGGACAGGCUGGAGAGGUGGGCCCAUGCGAACCUAAGGAGGUUCAACAAGGCCAAGUGCAAGGUGUUGCACUUGGGCCAGAGCAAUACCAGAAUAAUCUGUUUCCUCCGCUGCUUGAAACGCAACAUGGAAAUAGUAAAAGGGAUGCAAAGUAGGCAGAAGCUACACAACUAUCUCUUGCAAGAAGCUAACUUUGGCAUUAGAUACUGCAAGAGUACAGACUUGCUAAACUGAUGAAGCUUUCCUACUGCUGUGUUUCAAUGAAACUUGGUUUCUUUUGAAAAUUAGGGCCAUCAUUUAUUGAGAUUUUUGAAAAUCCUGCCUUUUGUUAAACUUCCACUGAUGUGAAAACAACGCAUUUGAAGAAAGCACAUGGCAACAUGCUUUUCUGAGUUGAAGUAACAGCAGACGGAUGGCUGGACCCAUCGUGCUUGUAUCCAUCUCGGACCCAUUCCCGUUAAGACACAAGUGCAGCCUGACUUAUGGAAUCAAACUCUAUAACCACAAGAGUUACUGCCAAGCAUGUCCAAGUUGCUGCAUUAUCACAUACAGCUGUUUCAGAGCUGUCAGUCCUAGACUCUGUCUUCAGUUACAUGGCCCAUCCAAUCUCCCCGGCUGUCAAUCAGAUUGGGAAGAAACCAACCCUACUGGGUGAAGACUGGGAAGAUGAGCAUUACAGUGACUACAAGGAUUUCUGUUAAGAAGGUUGACCCACAUUUUGAAACCAUCUAUUUUUAAUGCACCAGGCAUAGACAAACCUUUGUCACACAUAAUUCUUUACCUUUGAGGAAGGAGGGUGAACUAAGAACAGAUGACCACUCGCUGCACCAGAACAAGGAGCUGAGGCAGUCUGUGAGAACUGUAUUUGAUAGAACGGAAUCAGCCAUUCAGCAUUUUCCGCAGUCUCUGCAAUGUUCUUAUUUAGCUUUCCCUACAUUCAAAGAGUCAAAAGUAGUUUUGCUUCUGGAAUUGUAUUGGAAAAAUAAAAGCAGUUG
ensembl:lncRNA